rfam:Desulfotomaculum ferrireducens strain GSS09, complete genome.
UUGCGAAGCAUCGGUAACAGUACUUGGCGAACGCAGGACGAAAUUGGGGGAGUGCGCACAGGAUGUGCGCGCUAGCCGAACUGAAACAGGAGGUUGAAUUGAGGCGACCCCAAUUUCGUCCGGAGUGAGCCUUAGUACUGUCGAUGCGGAGCAU